UACGUAGGGUGCGAGCGUUAAUCGGAAUUACUGGGCGUAAAGCGUGCGCAGGCGGUUGGCAAAGUCAGCUGUGAAGGCCCCGGGCUUAACCUGGGAAUGGCGGUUGAAACUAGUCGACUAGAAUCUGGCAGAGGGGGUGGAAUUCCACGUGUAGCAGUGGAAAUGCGUAGGAGAAUGUGGAGGAACACCGAUGGCGAAGGACAGCCCC
rnacentral:rRNA from 1 species